GGUAGCAAACCGGAUUAGAUACCCUGGUAGUUCACGCCGUAAACGAUGAUUAAUAGGUGUUGGGGGUUGAACCUCAGCGCCCAAGCUAACGCGAUAAGUAAUCCUCCUCGGGAGUAGGUACGCAAGUAUGAAAAUCAAAGGAAUUGACGGGGACCCGCACCAGCGGUGGAGCAUGUGGUUUAAUUAUACGAAACAAGAGGAACCUCACCACCGUUUGACAUCCCCAGAAGUUAACAGAGAUGUUUUCAUGCUUCUUUGGAGGAACUUGGUGACAGGUGGUGCAUGGGUGUUGUCAGCUCGUGUUGUGAGAUGUUGGGUUAAGUCCCGCAACGAGCGCAACCCCUUUCGUAUGUUACCAUCAUUAAAUUGGGGAAUUAUAGAAGAAUGCCUGCGAUGAACAGGAAGAAAGUGGGGAAGAAGUCAAGUUAUUCUUCCCCUUUUAGGUUGGGGCUACACACCUGCUCCAAUGGGUAGUACAGAGAGCUGCACACGUGGCGAGGGUAAGCUAAUCUCAUAAAACUAUUCUUCAUUUCGGAUUGUACUGUUCAAACUCGAGUACAUGAAGUGGAAUCGUCUAGUAAUCGCAAAUCAGAGAUC
rnacentral:rRNA from 1 species